AGCUGGACGAGCCAGAGGGCAAGAAUGACGGAAGCGUUGGAGGAAUACGCUACUUCAUUUGCCCUCCGAAGCAAGGGGUUUUUGCCUCUGUGUCUAAAAUCGCCAAAGCCACAGACCAGAUGCCAUCAUCGGUGACGUCCACCCCAAAAACCCCCCGCAUGGACUUCUCCCGCAUGACCGGGAAGGGCCGGAAGGACAAGAAAGUCCUCAGGAAGAAGUCUCCCUCCGUGGGCAGCCUGGACCGAGAAGGGCUGAAGAUCGAGAUCGGGGACCAGGUGCUGGUGGCGGGGCAGAAGCAGGGCAUCAUCCGGUUC